GACGAACGCUGGCGGCAUGCUUAACACAUGCAAGUCGAACGGGAUUUUUGUGGUAAUUCUUUCGGGAAUGGACAUGAAAUGAAAGUGUCGAACGGGUGAUUAACACGUGAGCAGCCUACCUUACACAGGGGGAUAGCCGUUGGAAACGACGAUUAAUACCGCAUGAGACCACAGAAUCGCAUGAUAUCGGGGUCAAAAAUUUAUCGGUGUAAGAGGGGCUCGCGUCUGAUUAGCUAGGUGGAAGGGUAAAGGCCGACUAAGGCGACGAUCAGUAGCCGGUCUGAGAGGAUGAACGGCCACAUUGGAACUGAGACACGGUCCAAACUCCUACGGAAGGCAGCAGUGGGGAAUAUGGCACAAUGGGGGGAACCCUGAUGCAGCGACGCCGCGUGAGCGAAGAAGGUUUUCGAAUCGUAAAGCUGUGUACUAUGAGAAGAUAAUGACGGAAUCAUAGGAGGAAGCCCCGGCUAAAUACGU
rnacentral:rRNA from 1 species